UUUCACAUUAUCUCCUUUUCUUCAUCCCUAAGUGCUUCACCUUUGGCAACUUGCAACAACAACUCCAGCGACCAGCAGCAUCGCAAGCAAAACAAGUUGCUACCGUCUCCAACCUAUUUUAUUUUACAAGAAGGGUGGCUUCCAACGAAAACCAAACCGUUGCCUCUGGUCGUUUUUAUAUUCUCUCACUUCACCAAAAUUAAAGUGUUUCUAAUUUCGGCUCUGGUGCCUCAUGCUCGCUUUUUUAAACCUAGGCAAUGGUGCAGGACCCUACGCUCGCAUCGAUGUUGACCUCCUUGAUUGAAGUCUUGUAGAACAUAUAUAGAUAUCCAAAAUAAGCCCUUUUACUUAGCCGUGCGUCGGUAUUCUUGUCCUUGAGGUAUGAAAGUUACGUCAAAUUUGUUAUUAAUGUGUCAAGAGUUAAAGACAUCUUGUGACGUGGCUCUUGUGAAAGAUGUGGAAGUUGGUCAAAAAGAAAAAGAAAAGGGACAUAGGUGUUGUUGAAAAUAAGAGACAUAGGAGGCUCCUUAGUGUUCUCCAAGCAGAAUGUGGAUUAAUUAUAUUAGAAAACGGUUUUUCUAAUAAUAGCCAUUUACAAACCCUUGAAAUAUCAUCUACAUGGUGGACACAUAGAUUUUCAUCCAGGGCCACUUUCAGCAAGCAAUCGAAACAAUCUAACAAAAACUUUUAACGUUAGACCCGGGAACGAUGCAACAUGUAAAACUCCGAAAUCCACUCCAGGACACCCUGCCAUUGGAAUCACCUUUUCUUAUGGUAUCCAUGGUUAACUCCGCUGUCACCCUUCUUAAGUGGUAUAACAAAUUUGUUGGUAUACUAGUAGUCUCGUUUGGGUUGGAAUGUGAUUGUAACUACUCAAAGCCAACUAGUCUUCGGAGGCUAAUAUACAGGUACAAGAAUAUAACUCGUUUACUAGUAAUAAGCAACUUCAACGACACAGUGGGGUUUAAUCCAAAGGUGGUUAAUGGAUAUUAUGAGCGUAUGGGAAUUAAUGACAUUGAACGUACAAAUCUACAAAACCGUUUGUCAAUAACAUUGAGUGGGUUCAUCCUACUAGAAUGGAGACUGUUUUGGUGAGUCACCAAGACGACUUGGUUAGACCAUUACUUUGGGAAAAACUGAAGGUUUGAUGGGAAAUGAUUAUGCUGUUGUUGAUGAUGUGGAGGUAGAUGGACUCAUAAAAAAUUUGUGUAGAAGAUUGCGUUUUCUUAUAGCUCAUAACAUCUUCCAAGCCGACAGUCCUUUGGCGGCAACAUACAACAAUGGCUUUUCUAUUACUGGUAAUUUGAAAGAGUUGGGAAACACGACUUAGGUCGUGUUUUCCAUCAACCCUAAAGCUUUGGAACCGGACCAUCUAUUGGUAAUAGUAUCAGGAAUUAAGGUGGUGAGCCCAUAUUUAGGAGGUAAGUUAACUGCCCCGAGUGUUAAAAUGAACACUCUCUACCUUGGGGUCGGUGCAGGCAUUCUUGAGAAGUAUCUGAGCAAUGAGUUGGACUUCCACGUGACGGGUGUGGAGAUAGUUGAAAAUAUUUUUCAAUUUCUUGAUCAACAUUUCACGUGCUCUGCAAGUCACCAAUGAACAUGGGCUAAUGUGAAUAUGUUUAGAGGAUGUGAUACCAUGAAAAAGUUUGAAAAGUUUGCAUUGAAUAAAGACAAGAACCGUUUUCACAUAAUCACCUUGGAUAUCACGGGUUAUGACGAACUACCCGGUGUAGGAGCUUGUACUCCACCGUGUAAGUUUCUUAACCAAGAAUUCUUUGGAAACCUAAAGAAUAUCUUGCACGAUAAGGGGGGCCCUCAUUAUCCACGUCAUGAUCCCCGAUUUCAAGUUUCACCUCAUGUUAUUGACAUUGUUGAAAAAGAGUUGUCGUUUCACAAAGCUUCUUCGAGUAAGCCUCGGGAAGGAAUCAGAGUUUCUGCUAGUGGAUAACAUGGAUGGUGAGGUUCCAUCCUCCUCCUCCUCCCCCUCCUCCUCUGUUGAUGCAAAUGUUAUCUUAAUGAAGAUCAAGUUGAUGCUACCGGAAGGCUUUAACAUUGAACUAAAGCUCAAGGGACACACUUAUCUCAAAGAAGAUACAAAAUUUGUAAAUAGCUCCUCAUCUCAAUUCUCAUGUCUCUGUUUUCUUUCUUGCCUUUUUUGACAAGUUUUGAAUAACCUUUUGGAGGCGUUCAUGAAUCUCACACCCAUUUAUUAAAGAGCUUAUAUUUAGGG